CCAUCACUGAUAUCAGUGUCGUCUGUGUAUAUAUAACGAAGGUCUCAAGGUGGAGGGUCAUUUGAAUGUUUUUUUCAACAAUUUUCACUUAUAUGUGGAUAAUCGUGAUAGCCAUUUCAAGAUUAGGGUUUUGUAUUAAGGAACAAUGAGCCGCUCAAGUAGAACACUCUAUGUUGGCAAUCUUCCCGGUGACAUUCGUGAGCGGGAAGUAGAAGAUCUCUUUUACAAAUAUGGACCGGUAGCCCAUAUUGAUUUGAAAAUCCCACCAAGACCCCCUGGUUAUGCUUUUGUUGAGUUUGAAGAGGCUCGUGAUGCUGAAGAUGCUAUUAGAGGUCGCGAUGGUUAUGAUUUUGAUGGGCACCGGCUACGGGUGGAGCUUGCACAUGGAGGUCGAGGAAAUUCAGCAUCAAUCGAUCGUUACAGUAGUUACAGCAGUGGGCGUGGUCCCCGUGGUGGAGUGUCCAGGCGCUCUGAAUAUCGUGUGUUAGUCUCCGGAUUGCCUAGCUCUGCUUCUUGGCAAGACCUUAAGGAUCACAUGCGUCGAGCAGGGGAUGUGUGCUUCUCCCAAGUUUUUCGUGAUGGAAGUGGUACAACAGGGAUUGUGGAUUACACAAACUAUGAUGACAUGAAAUAUGCAAUUAGGAAGCUUGAUGACUCUGAGUUUCGGAAUGCUUUUACUCGAGCAAUAGUUCGUGUAAGGGAGUAUAAAUCAAGCCGAAGCCGAAGCCAAAGCCAAAGUCGGAGCCGGAGCUAUUCCAGAAGCCGCAGUCGUAGUCGCUCUUACUCGAGAGGCAGGAGCUACAGUCGUAGCCGGAGUUUGAGUCGGAGCAGGAGCAGGAGCAAGUCUCCGAAAGCCAAAUCUGCGCAUCGAUCACUUGCUAAAUCUCGGUCAAGGUCUGCUUCUCGUUCUCGUUCUGGAUCAAAGCCACGUUCUCUGUCAAGAUAUGGAUGUAUGCGGCUAUCUGGGGAUUGGAUAGUAGGAUCUUGGUGGGAUGUGGUUCAAGUGCCUGCAACUGUUGUGGUUGUGAAGAUUGGGAACAAUGAAGUUCAUGGGUUGUGAUGGUAAAGCUGGACUAUGAACUAAUUGCUAUUGGAAUUUGGGAACCACCAUCCUGCGGUAGAAACAAUUAUACUAUCAUUGCUUUUUCAACAUUGCCAAGCUAAUAGAACACAGUAUCUGGAUUCUUUGUUGAUCUUUUGGGCAUCCUGUCCACUGGUGUCUUAAACAAGCAUUGUAAUGCUUUCAUUAAGGUUUGCAUUUUAACUUUAGUAGGUCUUUUAUUUAGAGGGUGCCAUAUAUUUCUCUGUUGGGCUGCUAAAUACUUGUGGCUUUCCUUUUUUAUCUGUUUUGAUUAUGGUAAAUAUGACGUGGAAGAGGCAUCAAGGCUCUUGGAGCACAGUUGUUACAAGGGACUUGUGGAUAUUAAAUUUGGGUUGUUUCUGGAACUUUUGCAGAUCUCCAUCAAGAUCCAGAUCUCCCGUACCAUCUCGGCAGAAACGCAUGAGUGAAAGCCCAAAAAAGCACAGUUCUAGCCGGAGCCGGAGUAAGAGUGUGUCCAGGUGAGAUUUGAUUGUGGUUGAAUCUGUUGACUCCAGUGCAGUGAAGGAGGUAAAUUUGUUUGCCUGAUAUUUACGUUUGUGGGUUAACAGUGGGUUCAUCUGCCACAAUUAAAAAAAAUAGACUGGAGUUUGGAUGGAUUUGGAAUAGUGAUUGUGUGUUAUCAUUUUCAGCUAAUUUCUAAUAUGUUUGUUGAACUAGAACCCAUUAUCUACCAAAUUUACUGUAUGUAUUUUACUUGUGAGCUUUCAACUUAUAGGAAAAGGCUUUGGUAUUUUCUGGGUUA